GAUGAACGCUGGCGGCGUGCCUAACACAUGCGAGUCGAACGGAGAUUCCGGACGGAAGUUUUCGGAUGGAAGCCUGUAAUUCUUAGUGGCGGACGGGUGAGUAACGCGUGGGCAACCUGCCCUAUACAGGGGGAUAGCAGCUGGAAACGGCUGGUAAGACCGCAUAAGUCGGUUAAAUCGCAUGAUUUGAUCGGGAAAUGAGCAAUCAGGUAUAGGAUGGGCCCGCGUCCGAUUAGCCAGUUGGCAGGGUAAAAGCCUACCAAAGCGACGAUCGGUAGCCGGACUGAGAGGUCGGACGGCCACAUUGGGACUGAGACACGGCCCAAACUCCUACGGGAGGCAGCAGUGGGGGAUAUUGCACAAUGGAGGAAACUCUGAUGCAGCGACGCCGCGUGAGUGAAGAAGUAUUUCGGUAUGUAAAGCUCUAUCAGCAGGGAAGAUGAUGACGGUACCUGACUAAGAAGCCCCGGCUAACUACGUG
rnacentral:rRNA from 1 species